CUCCCCUGCAUGUAUCAUGUGGCCUUGCAUACCACCAAUUAGAACCACUCAUUUCUAUAGGAUGCUUCGAGAUAUGCAUUUGAUAAGUGAGGCCUAUAGGAAUGAGCAGUUGUGGUUAGUGGCAUGCAUGGCCAUGUGGUAUAUACAAUAUAGGAAAUAAUUUCUCUAUAAUCAAGAAAGAAAGGAAAAGUAUAACAAAAAGGA
rnacentral:lncRNA from 1 species